GCCCUGGUGGCGCAAUUGGUAGCGCAGCCGACUUGUAAUCGGCAGGUUGGGGGUUCGAAUCCUCUCCGGGGCUCCG
rnacentral:tRNA from 3 species